rnacentral:piRNA from 1 species
UCCAACCCCGAGAGCUACGGAUUAGUUCC